rnacentral:lncRNA from 1 species
UCUCCCGCAGACUCAGUUGCCCCUCAGACCAGGUGUGGAUCCCCACAUGGCCAUUGCGGCAGAGCUCUGCUCCUAAGAGAGUCUCAGACCAUCACGUGCUCUGGUGCUGAAUGACUGCCCUGUGUGACAAAACACAGCCUCUUUUUUUUUUUUUCAUUCACCAUGUGUGGCACAGUUUGACUUCAUUCUAAUACUAAUACUAAAUGGUUUUUACUUCUUCUUUCACCUGUUUUCUUCCUCCAGAUACUUACUGAGGCAGAGGAGAGUGGGUGGUGGGAAAAAAGAGUGGGUUGGGGGUAAGGAGGGAAUCUUUUUUUUGACGCUUUUGCUUUAAAAUUCAGAGUUGGAUUGGUCAGGAUUUAUGGGCUCUUUGCCAUGUAAAUUUUUCUCAUUCUCCAGGUUCUAGCCCUCCAGGUUCAUUCCCUCCAGGUUCUAGCUUGCCAGGUUCUAGUUCUCCAGGUUCUAGCUCUCCAGGUUCUAGCUCUCCAACCAGCUAAUAAAUAUUCAUUUAUCAAGUGAAUGAGUGCUGCCCUGGCACUGCCGAUGGUGAACACCAUUGCCAUUCCUUUUCACACUCUUCUAGGGCUC